UUACGGAAGGCAGCAGUGGGGAAUCUUGCGCAAUGGGCGAAAGCCUGACGCAGCCAUGCCGCGUGAAUGAUGAAGGUCUUAGGAUUGUAAAAUUCUUUCACCGGGGAAGAUAAUGACGGUACCCGGAGAAGAAGCCCCGGCUAACUUCGUGCCAGCAGCCGCGGUAAUACGAAGGGGGCUAGCGUUGCUCGGAAUUACUGGGCGUAAAGGGCGCGUAGGCGGACAUUUAAGUUAGAGGUGAAAGCCCAGGGCUCAACCCUGGAAUAGCCUUUAAUACUGGAUGUCUUGAGUUCGGGAGAGGUGAGUGGAACUCCGAGUGUAGAGGUGAAAUUCGUAGAUAUUCGGAAGAACACCAGUGGCGAAGGCGACUCACUGGCCCGAUACUGACGCUGGGGCGCGAAAGCGUGGGGAGCAAACAGGAUUAGAUACCCGUGUAGUCG
rnacentral:rRNA from 1 species